GACGAACGCUGGCGGCGUGCUUAACACAUGCAAGUCGAACGGAAAGGCCCUGCUUUUGUGGGGUGCUCGAGUGGCGAACGGGUGAGUAACACGUGAGUAACCUGCCCUUGACUUUGGGAUAACUUCAGGAAACUGGGGCUAAUACCGGAUAGGAGCUCCUGCUGCAUGGUGGGGGUUGGAAAGUUUCGGCGGUUGGGGAUGGACUCGCGGCUUAUCAGCUUGUUGGUGGGGUAGUGGCUUACCAAGGCUUUGACGGGUAGCCGGCCUGAGAGGGUGACCGGCCACAUUGGGACUGAGAUACGGCCCAGACUCCUACGGGAGGCAGCAGUGGGGAAUAUUGGACAAUGGGCGGAAGCCUGAUGCAGCAACGCCGCGUGCGGGAUGACGGCCUUCGAGUUGUAAACCGCUUUCGCCUGUGACGAAGCGUGAGUGACGGUAAUGGGUAAAGAAGCACCGGCUAACUACGUG
rnacentral:rRNA from 1 species